rnacentral:rRNA from 1 species
UAGGGAAUCUUCCGCAAUGGACGCAAGUCUGACGGAGCAACGCCGCGUGAGUGAAGAAGGAUUUCGGUUCGUAAAACUCUGUUGUUAGAGAAGAACAGCGCAUAGAGUAACUGUUAUGCGUGUGACGGUAUCUAACCAGAAAGCCACGGCUAACUACGUGCCAGCAGCCGCGGUAAUACGUAGGUGGCAAGCGUUGUCCGGAUUUAUUGGGCGUAAAGCGAGCGCAGGCGGUCAAUUAAGUCUGAUGUGAAAGCCCCCGGCUCAACCGGGGAGGGUCAUUAGAAACUGGUUGACUUGAGUGCAGAAGAGGAGAGUGGAAUUCCAUGUGUAGCGGUGAAAUGCGUAGAUAUAUGGAGGAACACCAGUGGCGAAGGCGACUCUCUGGUCUGUAACUGACGCUGAGGUUCGAAAGCGUGGGUAGCAAACAGG